UCAAUUAAACGGCACGGACUCGGCGGCGAAGUGCGACCACGGCGCGCCGGCUGUCGACCGCAAUGGAAAUCUUGCUCGAUCUCCACGACUUACUCACAGCCUGAAGUCUCCGCCCCGCUGGAGUUCUGGCGGCCGGAUAUCCCAAACCGAAGAAGGACGCCAGCGAGACCUGAAUUGAGCGGCGACAUCGACCUUCCGAGAACUGCAACUGGAAGCUGAAGACUUGCACUUGUAUCUGAAGAUUGACUAGCUUGGUCUUUGCUCUUGCCCCAGAUGAGAGCAUAGAGGCCAAUCACUAUGAUUACUGCACCAAUGACACUGCAAUUUUUCAAGAGAAAGUAAAGAUCACAAACAAAGUGGACUUCUCAUUAGCCUCUGCUACACUCUGCAAAAGUCUCCAUUAGUUCAGAAAGAAGAAGAGCUAGGGAUAUUGGUCAAGGCCAGAAUAAAGUCUCUGUAAUCCCCAUCAGAAAGGCUCUCACAAAUGGCAUCCUGUAGCUUCCUUCCAUAUCUCCUCUCAAAGGACGAUCUCACCUCUUUCAUGCCUGCAGAGGUGCUUCCUAUCAUAACUCUGAAAUCAUGUCCUGGUCCAAGUGCCUCUUGAACUUGGUUACAUAUGCUUGCUUGGUGAAGAAGAGAUGGUUCAUUUUUUGCCGAGUGUAGAUCUCAACGAGGGCCUUGUAAUCCAAGACUCUUCC